AUUAUAGUUCCACACCACAAAGUCCCUACACCCAGCGCCACCCAGCCGUCAGUAAAUAUCAUGGAGUUCUUAUAAUCAGGGCAGCCUCUACGCAAAUAUGUCGUCAUUGGCCACAACGUGUCUCCUCAUUGGCCACGACCUUCUAGGGAGGGGCAGAGAUAGGCGGAGAAAGGAAGUGAUAACAGAUUUAAGCCAAGUUUGAACAGCUGCCUCUGUUUGCUAGUACUGUGAGAAAACGUCGUCACCGAAGAGGUCCGAAGAGUUUAAAACGAACUCUGAACUCUGUUCUUUGUCGAACUCGAGUGAGACUGAACGCUGAACACACCUGCGGCAUGAAGGUUUACUUGUUCAGCUGCUGCAACCUGGACAGAAACACCAGCUCUCACCUUACAGACCAAACAGGUGUCACCAUUUUGUCCACGAUCGCAGAGAGGCUUUGUGCAAUGAAGAAGUUCUUUGAAACCAGGACUUAGACCUCCAGGAUUUAAACUUCAACCAUUAAAUCACAGAGAGAAGAGACAGACGUGAAGACAUUUCCAGAAGAUGUAAAGCUGUUUGUGAAUUACCUGGAGGCCUCUGUUCUGGUCUCAAAGAAGUCUCUCUUCAUUGUAUGAAGACUCUCUGUUAUUGUGGACGGCGUC